GCCCUAAUCUAUGGAUUUCACCUGAUUGGGAAUACAGAUAUGCAUCUGUUGGUCACAGAUACCUUAAAAAAAUGGUAUGGACAAAACUCCUCCCACAUCUUUGCAAGUAUUCCCUGAACUUACUGUAUGUUUCUUCAUCAUGACCACCUCUCCCAUCAUCUACUGAUCACCAGUUCUCUUAGCUACAGAUUGUUACACCAGAUAAUGUGAUUUAACAAAAGAUUUUUGAUAACCAUUACUGGGAGUUACAGGAUAUGUACAGUUUGGUGUAGCACAGAGAAUUUUCAACGAACCUUAGUGAUGGAUUCUUCGCCCUUGUUUCGGGGAAGUCUCAUAAAAAGUCUGUGUCCAGUUGCAGCGGGUCCGUUUGAAUUUAUAAAAUGCUCCGUUAUUAAAAUAAAUACUUAUUUUGCUCCAUAAAAUAAUCCAACAAUAUGUGUGCCGCUAUCGUGUCUAUUUCAAGUCUUCUCACUCAUUGAUCAAGACAGGUAUCUGUCAUCAUGACAUGCAGUACUUUGGGUUGGACAUCCACCUGUCUCAAUCGAUGAGAAAAGACUUGAAAUAGAAAGGGAUGUCAGCAAAAAUCACCUUAUCUGGUGAAACAAUCUGUAGCUACAGUUCUCUGCACUUGUGUCAUGGUUCCACCUGUCUAAAGAGGGCGGCAGAGACCCUCCUAGAGACAUUAGCGACACUCUGGUGUGUCCUAUUUACUCAUUAUGAUUUCUCUGUUAAAAGAGGUGUGUUUUCUAUUGUCCUUCGCUCAAGCUUCAAUUGUGUGCGUUUGUCUCCUGAGUGAGUUGUCGAGACUUAGUGUUUGUUGUUUUCCCAGUGUUACUGUGAUCCUUCCGUUACCGUUCUCAGUGAAGUAUUAUGUUUAUCCUUAACCGCUUAUUCCUGAGCUGGUCUCUUCUCUGCACCUGGGUCCAACCUCACCAUGUCACAACUUGUGUGUCUCUACACCUGAGACACACUCGGACACAUUGAACUGUGUUACACUGUUCAUAAAAAAAAAUUGUAUGUUACUUUUAGUAUAUAACAUUCUUGUUGAAUACCCAGCUCUCUUGAGUUAGCAUUAAAUAGUGGAUACUCCCCUGUAUUUCAGAAUUUGACAAAAACAUUAUUUUGAUAUCUGAAUGUCUGGCAUCUGCUUGAUACUAAAGAGCCCUGUACAGCUAAUAUACAUAUCUUCGGGGAAUCCAUAAGAGCAGUCAAAUGUCAAAGAUUGAUAGAAAAUAUCCAUAUUUAUUUUAUGGCGGUUCUACAUCUGGGCUCUCCAACCCUGUUCCUGGAGAGCUACCGUCCUGUAGGUUUUCACUCCAACCCUGUUCCUGGAGAGCUACCGUCCUGUAGGUUUUCACUCCAACCCUGUUCCUGGAGAGCUACCGUCCUGUAGGUUUUCACUCCAACCCUAAUCUAGCACACCUGAUUCUAAUAAUUAGCUGGUUGAUAACCUGAAACAGGUUAGGUACAACUGUGGUUGGAGCUAAAACCUACAGAAGGGAACAGGGUUGGAGACCCUUGUUCUACAUGGUUUUAUGUUGAGCCACACUGGCUGUAUUUACACAGGCAGCCCAAUUCUGAUAUUAAUUUCCACUAAUUCCACUGGUCUUAAUCGCAUCAGAUCUUUUUCAGAACUGAUCUGAUUGAUUAAAAGAUCAAUUAGUGAAAAAAAAGAUCAGAAUUGGGCGGCCUGUGUAAACGCAGCCAUAAUCCUUUAUCCGGCUUCGGUACACUGGCAAUUGUGUUCAGCAUGGUGGGCUGGGGAAGCGGAGACUCUUUGUGCUUAUCCUGUCUGCGGUGAACAGCCAGCUGGAUACGGCUCUGCCAAAAGGGGUGUAGGGAUUCUUAACCACCAACUGUCUAGGGUCCUUUUGCAGAAGAUUUGCUGGUACUGCACUUCUCCUGGAAAGACAUGGUUGUGGUGUUAGCAUUUUACACUUUUUGUGGAAUGGACGUAGGGCAACACGCCUUUGUUGGUAAAGGUAUCAACCGAAUGGGACCGGCUAACGUAUUGUUUAGGGACAAUGAGGGGACAUUGAGAGCUGCGUUUGAGAGGAAAGAUCAGUCAACAACGUGAAAUGGCUGGGAGGAGGAGGAGGGGGGGGGCUAAAGAUGUGAAAAGUCUUAGGAAGGCAGUUCUUACACAGUAUGAAUUGUUGUGUAUGGGAGAUUGAGGAGAAAUGGCACCUCAAUUGCUCAUACACAACAAUACAUUUACUGUCUAAGCACAACCAAAACCCCCUUCCUCAUCUCAAAGUACUGUCAGUAAACCUCCCCCAGCCCAUUAACGUUGAAAGAUCAUUCUUGUCAAUAGUAGCCCUUUGCAGGGGAGUUUUGUAGACAUGUCUUUGUAUUGUUUUUUAAGAAUCUGCAGAGAGAAGAAUGAGGUGGUUAUGUCAUUACUGUUGUAGUCUUGAUUUGACACUUUUCAGUGUCCCUUGCUGGUUUCUGUCCCACAAUCUUGUUGUGCUCCAUAACCGCAAGGUGUGUCUGCUCCCACAUGCUUGUGUACCCAAAAUGCCCCCACUUUGGGGUAUUUUUCAGCAGGGCACUGUGGAAUGACCCUAGAUAACCUGAGUUUUACAAAAAGAAAAGGUAAAAAGGGAAGGGGGAUGGACAAAAUUGAUUACAUGGUCUGGAAGGUACUUUGUGGUCCUCAGGCUACCUCUAACCACCUGCAACCCCAAAACACAAACCAUACCAAAUUCAUGCUGACUGUAAAUUCAGUUAUAUUUGCCAUCAGUUUGUACAGUUUUUUGCCAACUUACCUUACCUACAGGGAGGAGGUGAGGGCCCUGGCAGAGUGCUGCCAGGAAAAUAACCUCUCCCUCAACAUCAACAACACUAAGGAGCUGAUUGUGGACUUCAGGAGACAGUAGAGGAAGUAUAUCAACUGAGGCCACAGUAGAGAAGGUGAAAAGCUUCAAGUUCCUUGGUGUACACAUCACUGACAAUCUGAAAUUGCAACAGCACCGUUUCAACCUUAAGAGGCUGAAGAAAUUCAGCUUGGCCCCAAAGACCCUCGAAAACUUUUACAGAUGCACCAUUGAGAACAUCCUGUUGGACUGUAUCACCGCCUGGUAUGGCAACUGCACCGUUCGCAACCACAGGGCUCUCUAGAGGGUGUUGCGGUUUGCCCAAUGCAUCACCGAGGGCACACUGAAUACCCUCCAGGACAGCUACAGCACCCUGUGUCACAGGAAGGCCAAGAAGAUUAUCAAGAACCUCAGCCACCAAGCCACAGCCUUUUCACCCCGCUAUCAUCCAGAAGGCGAGGUCAGUACAGGUGCAUCAAAGCAGGACCGAGACUGAAAAACAGCUUCUAUAUCAAGGCCAUCAGACUGUUAAAUAGUCAUCACUAGUCGGCCUUCACCAAGUACCCUGCCCUGAACUUAUUCACUGUCACUAGCCGGCUACCACCCAGUUACUCAACCCUGCAACUUAGAGAAUCUGCCCUAUGUACAUAGAAAUGGAACACUGGUCACUUUAAUAAUGUUUACAGUGCAUUCGAAAAUAUUCAUACCCCUUGACUUUUUCCGCAUUUUGUUAUGUUACAGCAUUAUUCUAAAGUUGAUUAAAUAAAUUGUUUUCCUCAUCAAUCUACACACAAUACCCUAUAAUGACAAAGCAAAACAUGAUUAUUA
rnacentral:lncRNA from 1 species